UAUGGGAGAAACACUCUGGAGUCAAAAUCUUAUCAGAUCUGUUUUGGAACUGAAAAUCAGUUUGCAGUUCGGGUAUGAGGGAGUAGGGCUGAAGUGACUGAAAAGGAACAAUACAUUACUUCCCUGUGUGGGACCAGAGAUCCCUUCUUCAAAGCUGCAUCCAACCAUGAGAGGAAAAGAGAUUCUCCAAAUUUCUGCUGGAGAAACCAGAGAUGGGCACCCUCUGGAGCCAUCAACCCUCUGAGAUACCACCUCCCCAGAAAGGCCAAGUUCAUUAAAAAGAGGGAAAUGAAAAGAAAAGGAGGCAUUUCUUCUCUACACCCUGGAAAAGAUUGAGUGCAUAUUGCUUUGUCUCGCUACGACCAACCUUGCUACAAACAACAGCAGCAUUCAAUACUCUGACAUCCAGAAAACCAUCACACACAUUGUCACCCAAAAUGGAACACUGUCCUCACGGGGGUCCCUCAAUUAGAAGCAAUCUAUGAAUGAAUAACCCAGGAUUAUCUUCUGAUAGCCAAAAACCUUAUAUUGGGCACCUCAACUUUCUGGAUUUUUGACAAUAAGGAAACGAGAGCAUCUGAUUACACAAAGAUGUCUGAGCGAGCGUGUUACUAGAGCAACAGAGUGUCGUAAGUGGCUUUCUGUGCUCGCCUGCUCCACCGCUAUCAUCUCUGUAACCCCAGGGGACGGCAGCGAGGUGAGGAGGGGAAAGCCGAGCAUCCACCAUUCAUGAGGCGAGUGACGAGACACUCGUGCAUCUACACAACGCCAAACAUUUCGACUGCGGAAAUCCCAGACUCCCCAGAGGAAUGAAAACAGAGAUUUUGACACAAAGCUGUACCUGAGCAGUAGACGCAGCAACAAAGAACACUGCAAGAAAGCAUCCUGUUGCCAGCAUGGAGGAGACUCCCACAAUAGAGAGAGGCAGCAGCAUUUCCCAUUCACCUUCCCGAUGCAAAAGAGGACUUUUCUAAGCCAGGGAGUCCCACAGCACCAUACAAAAGCUCAGACUUCUCAAAACUGCAGCCAUAAGGAUCCUUCAGCUAUCAAAACGGAGGCCACCACACAUAACUGUCCCCGCUAUGACACAGGCUUCACUCACUCCAAGAAAUCCCAUCAAAGAGCAGGAUUCCGUUACUGUAAAUUCUAAAGACAAAUAUCCAUAAUCACAGAAGAGAAGAACUGCGAUACGUGACAGGGGAGGCCGUGGAAGAGACCGAUGCGAUCCCCACCAACGUGAACAUGCUGCUCAGUUUUAACGUCGGACCAAACAGCUUCUUAAACCCACGCACAGUAAUCAACUUGGAAUCUGUGCACUUCAGUGUUUUUGCUGGCUAAUAAAUUCCUUUUCUUCCAGAAAGUUCCUCUUCUCUACAAGAUCUCACUGCACAUUUUAGAGCCGAGGCUCCCACUUUGAUGAAAACCAUAGGAACAGAACCAUGAAUGCCGAGUACCUCCGCAAUAACUGCUACUAUUGCAGCCUUCCUGCACUAAGUAUAUAUAUAUAUUUUUAAUUAAGCAUGCAUGUGUUUUUCUUCACUGUAACUCCUAUUAAUUUUUAAAAAAUAUUAAUGCUUAUUAAGCACGCUAGCAGUUACACAACCUUAACGAAGUAUAUCAAAUCAAAGUAUGAACGCGUUUCUGCCUUACUUGCAUAAUUCUGGAAACCAAAACAGACUUUCUAAUGAGAAAAGCAUGUGACGGAGUACACAUUUUCAGCACUUUCAAAGAAGAAAACCAGCUCCUCUUGCAGUUUAAGGGACUGCUCCAGGUACAGAGAAGAGCUCGGUUCAUGGAUACUUUAAGUCUUGACAUAGAGAGCCCUAUUCAUAUGUAGUCUCAUCUACUUUGCAACUCUUUGACAGUACUGUACACACUGUAUUUACACCAAUAUUUCAUGAAUGUUUGCACUGACACACACACACAUAUACACAAAACCCUGUGUUUAGGCACGCAAUGCUAUAUAAUUCUAUAUAGCAUUAAGAUAAUUCCCCACAGAAACCCAGCUGGGUUGGGGGUAGGUGGAGAAGAAUGUACCAUAGCAAACUGCGCACUCGAAGUAGCGGUUAAACUGCUUGAGACCACUUUUCUGCUUUCAAGAGCCUCAGCUCAAGUGUUUUCACUGAGCUUUCCAUGUCUAACAGCUUCAUGGCAUGGGAAUCAGUAAUGCUGCUUCAGUGUACUCUUAAAAAAAAAAAGUUAAACAUCUAUAAAGCAAGGCCUACUACACAACAGAUGGUCUAAGCUCUUGAAUGUCAAAAUCCUUCUGUGUCAGGCAGCCCAAUUAAAGUGACAUUUUUAGCAGCGUGCUUCUCUCUACUGUGCCCUUCCUCCCACUUUAGCCUGAAUGUCCCAAGGGGUAAUUGCUCACCACACAAUUACAAACACCAGUCUACUGUAGUUCUUUCUCCCCAGUCUCUAAUUGGGAGAGUCUAUGAUGACGGUUAAUCUAACUUCUGGGUCUCAAUCUGCUUAAAAAGAGAAGACCUUAGAGAAAACAUGAAAACCUUGAGCAAACUAGCAUAGCUCUGGAUCUCCUGAUUAGGAUCACUUUGCUUUAGCCUCCUGAGCUGUAGCAAAGGUCUUUGUCAUUCACCUUGUCUUUCCAAAAUGCUAAAAAGCAGAUAUGGCUGAUGGACAGGAAAAAGAAAAAAGAAAAAACUAGAGGAGGAAAAAGCACCAUAAGUCAUUGUUUUCUAGCAGCUUGCUGUCAUCUCCAUAGGAUGUGUAUUGAAGAGAUGCCUUGGACUCCUCUAACCUUUAGAAGAAGACAGUCCUUUGGAAAUGCACCACUAGUCCCAUUUCUCAACACCAGACGCAGCCACAGCCCAUGACACGACUAUCAGGCAAGCAGCAAACCACUCCACCUGCGGUGGGCCAGGCAGUGCUGGCCUGGGAGCUGCGAGAUGACCGCAGUUGGGUGCAGGGGACACAGGGCAGCCCACGGGCUUUUGUGCCGCUUGGACCUGAGGGGCACCUCCUCCUCCUCCUGGACCGCUCCGGAGGUUUUGGUGUGCAGUCUGUGCCAGUAAGGCCAGUCACCCCUAUUUCACGUCUUGCCGAGUGUCUCCAAUUCCUCCUCCAGCCUAGAGGAACUGAUGAGGUGGAGAUAAUCCUGUUACUGAUUUAUAAUGGGUAACAGUAGUACAGAGUUAAAAAAAAUCCACGCAGGAACUUUGCAGCAGGUACCACAGACGUGAACUCAAUGUCUUGAUGCUCUCCUAAGUGAGAACACCCACAUAACUCAGUUCUGGGUCUCUGUUUCUGUCGGUGAAGGUUGACAACUUUAAUACUACCACGACAUAAGAUAGUCAGGCUGAUUUUGAACAGACCUGAGAUACAAACCAACACAGCUUCUUCCUAUCCAGCAUGCGACAGCCCCAGAAACUACAGCAAUUGCAAGGAGCCACGGCAUUGAUGGAAGCUACGUCCGAGAAAGGAUUGCUGAAAAAGGCAAUCGGAUACUAACGAAAGCAUAAUCCUGUUCAUCCCCAAGUGUGCGUUUCUCAGAUGAUUUACUGUAUUAUGAUAAAGUGAAUCUCACAUUCAGAGACUGCAAGCUGGAAGACAGGG